UGAGUGCGAGCUGCUACGGCAGCGAAGUUGGUGAUGUCAUGCUUCCAAGAAAAGCCCUAUACCCGUUAAGGCAUCAUGGCCUGUACCCGAAACCGACACAGGUGGGGUGGUAGAGAAUACCGAGGGGCGCGAGGUAACUCUCUCUAAGGAACUCGGCAAAAUGGCCCCGUAACUUCGGGAGAAGGGGUGCCACCGCAAGGUGGUCGCAGUGAAGAGGCCCAGGCGACUGUUUACCAAAAACACGGGUCUCCGCUAAGUCGCAAGACGAUGUAUGGGGGCUGACGCCUGCCCAGUGCCGGAAGGUUAAGGAAGCUGGUCAGCGCAAGCGAAGCUAGCGACUGAAGCCCCGGUGAACGGCGGCCGUAACAAUAACGGUCCUAAGGUAGCGAAAUUCCUUGUCGGGUAAGUUCCGACCCGCACGAAAGGCGUAACGAUCUGGGCGCUGUCUCGGAGAGAGGCUCGGCGAAAUAGAAUUGUCUGUGAAGAUGCGGACUACGUGCACCCGGACAGAAAGACCCUAUGAAGCUUUACUGUAGCUUGGUAUUGUGCCCGGGCUCGCAAUGCGCAGGAUAGGUGGGAGGCUUUGAUCAUCGGCUUGCGGGUCGAUGUGAGCCAACGGUGAGAUACCACUCUUUGCGAGCUAGGGUUCUAACGGCCACCCGUCAUCCGGGGGCCGGACAGUACCUGGUGUGCAGUUUGACUGGGGCGGUCGCCUCCUAAAAGGUAACGGAGGCGCGCAAAGGUUUGCUCAGGCUGGUUGGAAAUCAGCCGACGAGUGUAAAAGCAGAAGCAAGCUUGACUGUGAGACCAACAAGUCGAACAGGGAGGAAACUCGGCUUUAGUGAUCCGACGGUUCUGAGUGGAAGGGCCGUCGCUCAACGGAUAAAAGUUACUCUAAGGAUAACAGGCUGAUCUCCCCCAAGAGUUCACAUCGACGGGGAGGUUUGGCACCUCGAUGUCGGCUCAUCGCAACCUGGGGCUGAAGUCGGUCCCAAGGGUUGGGCUGUUCGCCCAUUAAAGCGGUACGCGAGCUGGGUUCAGAACGUCGUGAGACAGUUCGGUCCAUAUCCGGUGCGCGCGCAGGAAUAUUGAGAGGAUUUCUCCCUAGUACGAGAGGACCGGGAGGAACGCACCUCUGGUGUACCAGUUAUCGUGCCAACGGUAAACGCUGGGUAGCCAUGUGCGGAGUGGAAACCGCUGAAAGCAUCUAAGUGGGAAGCCCACCUCAAGAUGAGUAUUCCCAUGGCGUAAGCCAGUAAGGUCACGGGAAGAACACCCGUUGAUAGGCUCUAUGUGAAGCGCAGUGAUGCGUGAAGCAGAGGAGUACUAAUAGACCGAGGGCUUGACC
rnacentral:rRNA from 1 species